CGGGCGCUGACGGAUGGCGUCACCACGGCGCGCUCAGACACCAGAGCCAACCCAGGCUGUCACCAGAAGGUUUCUUGGCUCCUUUUUCUCUCUGCGUUUUCCCCACCCCUAAAAGACUGACUCCAAACUCAGAGUUCCGCCACGCUCGACAGAAGGGUUUACCGCGUGAGCGGCGUAGCAGGAAGAGGCUCAGGCGGCGGCAACUGCUGAUUGGCAGCAAAGGAGUUCACUCCCUAUCGCCUGCUCGAACUGAGCCAGCGUAGCCAAUCAGAACGAGGACUGACAAAAACAACCCAAUCCUGGAGCUGGGCUGAGGGAGGGGGCGGGAACAAGUGGCCCAGGUGGACUUGGGACCGGAGCUGGCCUAGGGAGAGCUGGUUUGCGGAUGCUGCUGAUACUGCUGCAGUAGUACUGGAUCGUCAGGCAGAGCGCCCUCUCUUGGAGGGGAGUCAUGAGCCGCUUCCUGAAUGUGUUACGAAGCUGGCUGGUUAUGGUGUCCAUUAUAGCCAUGGGGAACACACUCCAGAGCUUCCGAGACCACACUUUUCUCUACGAGAAGCUCUACACUGGCAAGCCAAACCUUGUGAAUGGCCUCCAAGCCCGGACCUUUGGGAUCUGGACGCUGCUCUCAUCAGUGAUUCGCUGCCUCUGUGCCAUUGACAUCCACAACAAAACGUACGUCAGGGAAAGAAGGCCUCUGGUGUCCGUGUGUUGGCAGUGACGCUCCGCUCACGUGCCCGGCUACUGUUGACUCUAUCACAUCACACUGUGGACAUUCCUCCUCGCCCUGGGACACUUCCUCUCAGAGUUGUUUGUAUUUGGAACAGCAGCUCCCACAGUUGGUGUGCUGGCACCCCUGAUGGUAGCAAGUUUCUCAAUCCUGGGCAUGCUGGUCGGGCUCCGGUACCUAGAGGCAGAACCAGUAUCCAGACAGAAGAAAAGAAAUUGAGGCCAGCCUUGCCAGCUCUGAAACAUCGUCUUCCACCUCCACUGUCUUCUUCAUUCACCCUCUAUCCUUAAACCAUUUCUGUUUGGCUGCAUCCUUAACUCCUUCAUCUAGGUUCAGCAUCUUAAGCUUUCGAGAGGGUUUUUUGUUUUUUGAUCUUAAAUUUUGGUUUUUGGGGUUUUUUUAUGUUUUUAAAUUUUUUAAGGUAUUCAUAAGAAAAAUUACUUAACAUGUAUGUAUAAUUUAGGAGUCAUUUAAAGAAAAUACUCUUGUUAGUCCUUCAAAGUCAAGGAAUUCUGAGAAGCCCCCUAAUGUGUCCUCCCCUAGCUAUAACCCCUCUAGCUCCUUUUCCAGUCUUUUGCUUUUCUCUGCAUUCCUUGAUCUGUUGUGGUGGGAACAUAACUGUGAAGCCGCAGCUGCUGCCUGCCCAGAGCAGCCGCGGGCAAGGGCUGCUUCAAGGUCCUGAGCACAUAGACUGGGCUCCUUUCUAUUGCUGGGCCCAGGGGACAGGCAGUUCUUCUGAGAAGGACUGCCCUCAUGAGCAGGACCAGGCUCCUCUUUUAUCUACAGGUGGAUGAAGGUUGGAAGAGUCUGGGCUGUUUUUAGACCUUUUGGUCAAUUGUAUUUGUGUAAUGCAUUUUAUAAUAAAUAGGGAAACCUUCUAUUCUGA